rnacentral:rRNA from 1 species
GACGAACGCUGGCGGCGUGCCUAACACAUGCAAGUCGAGCGAAUGAAGUUCCUUCGGGAACGGAUUUAGCGGCGGACGGGUGAGUAACACGUGGGCAACCUGCCUCAUAGAGGGGAAUAGCCUUCCGAAAGGGAGAUUAAUACUGUAUAAGAUUGUAGUACCGCAUGGUACAGCAAUUAAAGGAGCAAUCCGCUAUGAGAUGGGCCCGCGGCGCAUUAGCUAGUUGGUGAGGUAACGGCUCACCAAGGCGACGAUGCGUAGCCGACCUGAGAGGGUGAUCGGCGACAUUGGAACUGAGACACGGCCCAGACUCCUACGGGAGGAAGCAGUGGGGAAUCUUCCACAAUGGGCGCAAGCCUGAUGGAGCAAUACCGCGUGCAGGACGACGCUUUUCGGAGUGUAAACUGCUUUUGUCGUCGAAGAUUAUGACUGUAGACGAAGAAUAAGGACCGGCUAACUACGUGCCAGCCGCCGCCGUAA